CUUUUUUUUUUGAUUUUUGAUUUAUUACACAUUUUUUAAAAUACAGAAUAAGAAAUACCAUAACAAAAGACUGACAUUAAUGUACAAAACUAGAAGGUAAAAGAUGACAUAAAAAGAAAAACAGACUCAAAACAUAAAAAUAAAGAAAAUCUUCUUUUAAUCCACUCCUGAAUGAGCGAUCCUGACUAGAUGGUCCUGGGGCUCUGUCAUGCUCAAACUCCGGUAAGUAAACCCACACCUGUAUGAGAAAAUUAAGACCAACACUAUGUGAGACAAUAACAUUCCCUACUAGACACAUGCAAGACAUGAUUGAGGCUAUUUGCAAAAUGGCUUAUUUGGCCAAAAGGUGGCUAGAAGUGCAAAAUUUAGCUAAGACCCCGCAAAGCCAAGAACCUAAGAUUUACUAGGAAGACCGGACCCUAUGUGGGUUGCCUACGUAUCACGCCCCAAAAGACGAGAAUCAGGUUUGCGUAGUUCGGGCAGAUUGGAUACGGGCGAGAAUUAAAAAAAACACUAAUUUGAUUUUUUUUAUCUUUUUUUUUUGAAAAAUGAUGGAACAUGUAAACUCUUUUUGGAUUUUUUUUUGAUUUCCUGAUUUUUGGAAAAUGAUGAAAGAGUCCAAAAUCUUUUUUUGAAUUUUCAAGCUCUUUUUCCUUAACAAAAAAUGUGACAGAAAACAUAAUUGAGCAUCACUCUCUUCACACUUCACCCUCUCUUUUUUUUUUUAAUUUUUUUUCCAUUUAUUUUCAUUUGCCCUCAACUAUUAUUAGUCCGCCAAAUGACCCUUUUACCCUUNNNNNNNNNNNNNNNNNNNNNUUAUAUACAGUCCAAACAAUAUCAAAGCGGUAAAAAGCAACAUUUAGCACAUUAAGCCCAGACAUGUAAUAAAACCAGAUAAUAAAUAAAGCCAAAUAUAACAAUUAUUCCAAGCUCGAAUUCUUGAACCCUGAACCAGAAAUUCUGGGUUCUUGUCCCCAGCAGAGUCGCCAGAGCUGUCACACCUCCUUUUUCCUACACCCCCGUAAGUGUGUAAGGGAGUUUUUUCCAAUUUAAGUGAAAAUCAAAACGGGAUUAUAUUAUUUAAAAUUCAGAGUCUCCAUUUGGGAUAAUUUAUGGUGUCCCAAGUCACUGGUUCAAAUCCCGAAUCGAGGAAAGAUUGACUCUGUUUUACAGUCCGCGUACACAGAAAUCCGGGUAAGGAAUUCUGUUAACCUGGGAGAAGAUGUUAGGCAUUUCCGAGUUCCGUGGUUCUAGCACGAUCGCUCAACUAUUAUUAUUGGCCUAAUUAUCUGAUUUUAAAAUACUUUUAAGCCUAUGUGCGAUUUUAAACUUUAAAACCACUUUUAUUUAUUUAAAGAAUUAACUCAAGGUUAUUUAAAAUAUAUCGUAAGCCACACUACAUGAAAUGCACCCAUGGUUCACGACACGUUCUGUUUAACCUUGUUGGAAAUUAGAAUCGGGUCACACGAAAUGCACACCCGGAUUUAGAAAUUGUGUAUCGCAACUACGUUACGAGAACCGUACCCGUAGUAGUGAUAAUUUUACUUAUGCGGUUAAAAAAAAAAGUUUACCUACCUAAAUGUGAUGGGCCGAAAACAUGUUCCUAACGAUUCAACCCAAAAAACAAGAACGAGGAGUUACGAAAUUGUCUUGAGUCCAAACUCUUUCAAUUUUAGUCCAAAAACACACUGCCCUCUUUCGUUACUCCUUAUUUUCAAAUCAAAUUAGUACAUGUUAACACUACAGCUACUGGGCAAUGACAGGUCCAAGCAUACUGAGUAAAAUUUUCUGAAGCUAAGAUAAUCUACCAUUUCCACGCACAUACGUAAUGGUGCAAUAAGAAUCAAAGUUAUAAUAUAUGGGAAACUAAGACUAAAGAGAGACAAAAGAAAAGAAAACACACUACUUUGGUUCCCAUGUGAUCCUUAAGCUCAACAGAACAUGUAGCUACUGCUACAGAGGAGAUUCAAUAAGAGCAAAGGCAAUCUUGGCAAUAUAUAAAUUUUCUAAUAAAAUUAGUUAUCCCACUCAUUAUUAAUCCUUAAUUAAAAUUUGGGGCCAUUUCCAUUAUCAAAAUGAUGGGCAGUACCGUUUUCUUUCCCUUAUAACCAAUUUAGUCAUGUUUUCCUUACUUUGUUAUAAAUCAAACAGAAAUUAAUACUUGCAAAAUAAACUCAAGAUGAAUCCACACCACUACCAUUAGAGGAACAUAAGAAGAAGGAAGAACUGCACCUGAAGAAUGAAGUUUCAAUUCCUCAAAGUAUUCAACAAUUACACAAACAAAAUCGACACCGCAACCAUGACUUAAACUCAAAAUAGAUGGAAGCUCAGACCUCGACAGAAACAACGACUCUGCAAAAUGAGACUCCGAACCUCGACGGCGCCGGAAAACUCAUAAAAACUCCAACACUAACUUAAAAUCGGACUUUAAUCCAAUUCUAACCCGAAAAUGACCACAGAUGGAACAAGGACCCAGCGAUCUCGAACAUCUCUAGCUCUCAACCCCGAACAACUCAACGAAUGGACUUCAAAAUGGACUUUAUGAAGUUGAAGAAGAGGAUUGUCGAUGGAGGAGGUGUUUUUGGGUGUUCAGCGACUGAGGAAGAUCAGUUCAUGGUGGAGAGGGAUUGUUGAAGGGUUGUAGGUCCUUCUGCUUCGAGACAUAAGAGGAACAACUUAGGGGUCGUUGCUUUUGGUUUGUGUUGCUGUAGAAGAAGCUGAAGAUCAAGAGGUCUUCGAUGGUGUUUUCUAAUGGAGGUCCUGAUUCUCUGCUUCAGAAGAAGAGGAAACGAUGGGUCCUUUGGGGUGGUUGGCAUCGAAGAAGACGAUGAACAGGAGGGGGUGGGUCUGUAUAUUUACAGCGCUUCAGAUUUAGCUCUAGGGCAGCCUUUUUCUUUUGUCUGUAUUUUGUUUUUGCAUUUUUCUCCUGAU
rnacentral:lncRNA from 1 species